rnacentral:rRNA from 1 species
GAUGAACGCUGGCGGCGUGCCUAAUACAUGCAAGUCGAGCGAACAGACGAGGAUCUUGCUCCUCUCACGUGAGCGGCGGACGUGUGAGUAACACGUGGAUAACCUACCUAUAAGACUGGGAUAACCUCGGGAAACCGGAGCUAAUACCGGAUAAUAUAUUGAACCGUAUGGUGCAAUAGUGAAAGACGGUGUUGCUGUCACUUAUAGAGGGAUCUGCGCCGCAUUAGCUAGUUGGUAAGUUAACGGCUUAUCAAGGCAACGAUGCGUAGCCGAGCUGAGAGGCUGGUCGGCCACAUUGGAGCUGAGACACGGUCAAGACUACUACGGGAGGCAGCAGACGGCAAUCUUCCGCAGUAGGCGAAAGCCUGACAGAGUAACGCGACGUGAGUGAUAGCGGUCUUCGGAUCGUAAUGCUCUGCUUUUAGGGAAAAACAAAUGUGUAAGUAAAUAUGCACGGCUUGACGGUAACUAAUAAGGAAGCCACGGCUAACUACGUG